rnacentral:rRNA from 1 species
CUACGGGGGGCAGCAGUGGGGAAUAUUGGACAAUGGGGGAAACCCUGAUCCAGCAAUGCCGCGUGUGUGAAGAAGGCCUGCGGGUUGUAAAGCACUUUCGGUUGGGAGGACUGCUUCUAGCACUAAUAUUGUUGGAAGUUGACGUUACCUUCAGAAGAAGCACCGGCUAACUCCGUGCCAGCAGCCGCGGUGAUACGGAGGGUGCAAGCGUUAAUCGGAAUUACUGGGCGUAAAGCGCGCGUAGGCGGCUAGAUCAGGCGGGUGUGAAAGCCCCGGGCUUAACCUGGGAACUGCAUCCGAUACCGUCUAGCUAGAGUACAGGAGAGGAGAGUGGAAUUCCACAUGUAGCGGUGAAAUGCGUAGAUAUGUGGAGGAACACCAAUGGCGAAGGCAGCUCUCUGGCCUGAUACUGACGCUGAGGUGCGAAAGCGUGGGGAGCAAACAGGAUUAGAUACCCUAGUAGUC